CUUUAUAGGAAAACAAAGAUAAAAUAAUAAUUAUUAAAAGUGAAUAUUGAAAUGAAAUUUCCCUUAGUAUUCAUUUUAUUUAAAUAAAUUAAUUUGUUUCUGUUUUUUUUUUUUAAAUCUAGAAUUAACCAUGACAUGAGGAUCCUCCUUUUAACAAGAAACUGGUACGGUCCAAACAGUCACCCUACAAGACAGACGGUCGUUUACCUGGCCAAAAUUUUGUACUGAAGUACCUGAAUUUGUGGUCGGGCUUUAAACAUUAGUGAUGGAGUCAAAUUGCUACAGCAAGUUUGAGACGAAAAUGUGAGUUUUUAUGUUUUUAGAAGAACAGCGACGUGGUGUAAACAAAAGUCUAUCGGAGUUUUAUGUAGGGCGUCGAACAAGAUGGCGACUCGUGAGGAAUCAGACAAAGGAGCGUUUCAUCAGUGAGGGGGUGUACCGUAUUUCAUUAUAACACCCCUCCUCUUCCGCUUUCCUCCCUCGCCGUCUUCCGUCCUGUCCGGUGCGAUGAAGCCACAGGAUGAGCAUCAGCAGAGCCAGCAGCAGCAGGCUCAUGGCCAGCGUCAGCAGGACGGCCUGCAGGAGGCCGGAGGGACCGUCUGGAGCUGCGGGAACAACAGAUGUGAACUUCUCCCCGGGGGGGAGGGCAAAAGCUAAGUGUGGACCCUCACUGCUGUAGAUGGACAGGUUGAUGUAGCAGUUCUCCGUUCCAAGGACGUUGGAGGCCGAGCAUCGGUACAGACCCGACAUCUGAGAGGACACGUUCACAAUCCGCACUGAGCCGGAAAAUUCCCCUGAACCACAGAGAGACAUGGAAGUCCAACAAGGACACUUCAGGAAGUGGGAUUUCCUCGGGGUCCACCUUGGCCCAGCGGAUAUCCGGAGCGGGGACCCCCUCUGCCACCGAGCAGGACAGCCUGACGCUGCCUCCCAGCUCCAGAUCUCCAUCCCACUGGCAGACGGGCAACGAGGGCGGCUCUGCAACACGGCCUAACGCUGAAUCUCUGCUCUGACAACUUUCACUUUUGAUGAUCUAAGACACUCACCCAGAACAUUCAGCACCAGCUCUCCUAUGCCGGGAUCUGCAGCCUCGGGGGGGUUGUUCACCAUGCAUCUGUAGACUCCAGCGUCCGACACUCGAGUGUCGUUGAGGAAGAUGUCCGCACUCACAGGAAGACCUGUCAUCAGCAGGUAGGAAUAAGGAGUUUCAGCUGCAACCAAACCUGCGUGAGAACCACUGACUUGUCCACGGUUAUGCAGAUCACCGAUCCAACGUUGACGUCUCUGGUGCCUUCGGGAACCAGGAUCUUUGCCAGGUAGCACUCCUCCAGCAUCUCAAAACCUACUGUGGCUUUGUCCGUCUCCACCUACGGAAACAGAGAUGACCGUUUCAUGAUUUAAAAAAAUUAAACUGAAUUUAUGAAAUAUUGUGCGACCUUCAGACCUCGGCUAUAAGGUCGCCCUCGCUGAUCUUGUCCCCCUCCUUCUUCUCCCAGCGGGCGAUGGUCCCGGUCUGCAUGGUGGGUGACAGAGCAGGAAGCUCCACCUGCAAAAACCAAAACAAACCCAAAGUGCUCAGCGAAGACGGCUGGAACAACCUCCACGGACGAAGAGCUAAAAUAAACAAAACCACUGGGCAUGGCUUACUGUCCAUCACACCACAUCAUCCCACUCUGAUGAGCAAACACAAAUGAUUUCAACACAUCUGUGGACUUAAUGAAAGUCACAGAGAUCAACAAGCGGAAGACAGCUAAAAAUACAAGAAGCAUCCAAACAUCCACAAUGAAUCUGAGGAUGGAGAGAAGAUCCUGAAAAGAUAUUUUUAUCUCAGAGACCGAGACAAGGUCCUUCAGCUUUAUGGAACACAAAGAUGCUUUUAGAUUUAUAUUUUAGAGACCAAGUUCUACUAAAAAAUAUGGAAAAACUGAAUCUAAAAUAUAUAUUACUACCGACUGCUUCCCAUUAAAACACCUGUUUGAUAAUCUGAAAAUACCUUGAUAAUUUGAUCUAAUUUCCAGUUUUAAAGUUUGGCUUUCAUUAUAUAAAAUUAGAAAAGUUUUUUUUUGCUAACAAUAAACUUAAUAAAGACACAAGAAGUUGCAAUGGUGGAAAACUGCUGUGGAUUUGAUGUUAUUGUUCAUAAUUUAGUUUUUUGGUUCUGAUAUUAGACAAAAAGUAUAAUUGUGAUCAGCUUUUUUAACAUGUUGAUUAUUAUUAUUUUCAAUUAUAAAUGUUGAUUUUUAAUUGAUAACCUAAAAUCACUGCAGUGCAGGACCACCGUCUAUUUCCUGGAUCUGAGUCGUGAUGUAACAGAAACUAAAUUGCAUUUAGAGGCCGAACUGUAAACACUUUGAUUUAUAAAGGAUUUUAAAAAAUCUGCAGGUUGGGAGCAGUUCACCUUCACCCAGCUGGGCUGAACCAGUAGCUACGGUGAACACCGGAGCCGCGUGACCCUGACGUUCGGUUCGAAGCCUUACCUUACUGUGGGGCGGCAGACUGUAGAACCGUAUGUUCGGGCUGGAACCCACCAGUUGGGAAGACCGUAGCAGGCCGGCUCUGUGACUGUACACCGAGCCCAAGGCCGACGUUCGUGACCCGGCUCCGCCGUGUAGCCGCCUCUCACCGCUGGAUCUGGGACGAGAGCCGAGCGCGACAGGCCGUGCCGGGAGGACCCGGGGCCCGGCGCGAGCACACGGCCGGAGCCGCAGCAACAAACGCAGCAUGUCGACUCGAAACGGAGGCCACACGGAACCAAAACAAAACUGCCCGAGACCACGGAAGAGAAGAGACCUUCCCCGUUUUCUAAUGACCUCCUCACACGACACUUUACGGCUCUCCUCCAAGGGUUGCCGUCAGUGCGCUGGAGGUGUCGUAAACGCUGCUGGUUCUAAUUUCGAUUUAAAAAAAAAAAAAAAAAAACGUUUCAAUAAUUAUGAAUAUAAAAUAAAAAACAAGAAAAAAAAUAGGGAGAAAUAAAGAAAAAAUAUUUUACAAACGAUACAUUUUCAAAACACUAAAAUAUGUUAAAUUUCAAAUUAACUUAUUGCAAUCCCAAAAGUGGCCACACGGUAGCAGUAUAACCUCAUUAUCACUCUUGGGCAAAUUAACCUUUUUUGAUUCCCUCACACAAACACACUGGUUUAAGUACUGGGGGGUUGAAAAAAAAAAAAGCAUUGCAGACAUGUAACCCAUUAUCCAUGUCUACUAUCAUGUCUUUGUGAGGUGCUAAAUAUCUUUUUAGUAAGGUUAAAAGGUGUAAAAUAUCUUUUUAGUAAGGCUAUAAGAUGUAAAACAAGAAACGUUAUUAAACUAAUAUUGAUCUUACUAUAAAUACUCUAAAUUACAUAAAAUAAUUACUAAAUGAAUCAUAUAUUAAUUUAAAUGAAUAAAAAACAGAUUAUGAAGUUUCUUCAGGAAUAUUUAUAGCAGGCAGUUAAAAAAAAUGGAGAUUGUCAUCAAGUUUUUAUAUACUUUAUAUAUUUUGUAAACAUAAAAUUCCAAUUUAUCCUGAAGAAGUAUUUAGUUGGUGUACUUCCUACACAAUACGUUCAUGGUCUAUACUAGUAUACUUGUACUUCAAGUGUACUACUUUUCCUCAGCCCCUGAUUUGAUUUAGUCAGAAUGGAUCCUACACAAUUAAGUUACAAAUUUGAUUUAAAAAUACACAACUUUUGAAUUAAACAAAAUGUUUGUGUACUGGAAUUUAACAAAUAUACAUUUCUGAAGUAUAUAUCAGCUUGUAUGUGAACAUUAAAUCAUUUAAAACAAAUUUUGCCAUUUCUGUGGAUCUGCACCAGCUAUAUGUGCCAUAUCGCUUGAAUCUUACUAUUAACAUGUUUGAAUUAAGACUCAACAAAAUUAGUUUGCUAGUAGGCUGCUGAAGUUAGAAACUGGGAAAAAUAUGAUGCGCUGGGGUUCUGUUUUAUAUUCUCCUUUACUUACCUCUCCUCUAUUAUUUAUUUAAUUUAGUCCUCUGUGCUUCUUUUUGGUGCAGUGGGAUUCAUAUGUUGUUUCUCUUUUCCACUCCCCUUCGGGAGAGUUUUCAGAUUGAAGCCCAAUGAGGCAAUUGUUUUGUGAUAUUAGGCUAAAUAAAUAAAAUUGAAUUGGAUGCGCCCUCAAUCUGGAGAUCAAAUAGAAUUGGGAAACCUUUCAAGUUUAGUAAUUUGUGGUUAAACCUUCAUAAAAAUGUAGUUUGACAGCUCAUCAUAAAAAAGAAAACAGACAUAAAAAAAGGACAAAUUUAUUUGAAAAUAUCUAACAAAAGUAGCUGUGUAUUAUUUUUCGUAAACACACAGUACAGAUAGUUCUUAAAUAAAAAUACAAACCAGAAACCAGCAGAAGGCCUUGCUGCCAGCUGGUCGCUGAAACUCACUGGUCUACAGCGGCGGGACUCCAACAGAGCAGGAGAAAUAAUCCAUCCACAAAUAUAUACACACAUGCAAACAUCCACACUUUAAACUGCUCUGAAACACAAACCUCCAACAUAAAAACAACCUUAUAUAUAAUCCAGUCAUAAAAAUACCACGAAAAUAGAAGUUUGGAGUUUUUACACAAAAAUAAGAAAAAAAA